UAAGGAAUAUUGGACAAUGGAGGCAACUCUGAUCCAGCCAUGCCGCGUGAAGGAAUAAGGCCCUAUGGGUUGUAAACUUCUUUUAGACGGGACAAAACCCCUUUACGUGUAAAGGGUUGAUGGUACUGUCAGAAUAAGCAUCGGCUAACUUCGUGCCAGCAGCCGCGGUAAUACGAAGGAUGCAAGCGUUAUCCGGAAUUAUUGGGUUUAAAGGGUGCGUAGGCGGACUAAUAAGUCAGUGGUGAAAGCCUGCAGCUUAACUGCAGAAUUGCCAUUGNUACUGUUAGUCUUGAGUACAGUUGAGGUAGGCGGAAUGUGUCAUGUAGCGGUGAAAUGCUUAGAUAUGACACAGAACACCGAUUGCGAAGGCAGCUUGCUAAGCUGUAACUGACGCUGAGGCACGAAAGCGUGGGGAGCAAACA
rnacentral:rRNA from 1 species